ACGUGUUUCAAUCGGAACUGCAAGGCGGUUUGGUUUCCGAUUCCUUUCGUCGGAUCGACGCUGCUUGGUUUCUGAUCCAUCUUUUCUGCUUCCGAAUUUGUGUAGAUCGUUGAACGAUCUGCGUAUUGGUUAUGGAUUUGAAGGCUUUUGUUUCGAGUAUGGUUGUCCGGCCCAAUGGUCAGCCGAUCGCUUUUUCUUCGCAUGACGGACUCGGAACGCUGAGUUUUGUGUAGAUCCGUUUUGAUUUCGGCGGCGCUCAGCGUUCGGUUAUGCCGAUGUCGAAUAUCCGUUCGAUGAGACUAUUGGAUCUGCGAAGCCAGAGGAUUUUGAAUUCUGAAAAUUCCAACGCGGAUCUGCUAUUCUGGUUUGUAACGUGGCUCCGAUUAAUCCAUCGGACAUCAGGGAAGUACUUGUGAUUUAUUAACGUUUUUUUUUAAUAUUCUUCUGCUUCCUGUGAUCAUAUGAUUAUGAGUAGCGUUGUGUAUGUGUGAGUUGUAUGUAUCUGAAAAAUAUGAUGUCAGUCAAGGUGAGGUGAUGUGUCGCCGCUGUCCAGACCUUUGCCAUGAUGGGUGCGCUCGCAUGGCAGGUCAACUUUUAAUAAAAUUUUAUUUUUUGUGUUUUGAGGGGAGAUGGCACGGGAAUUGCCCGGCUCUCCCCCGUCUGCGUUGCCCUUUUUCUUUUUCUUUUUUUUUUUUUCUUUGGCUUUUCCUUUCGCACGCGAUCACAGUUCAAUUUGAGCAAUCAAUCCACGAAUCAAAUGUGAUUGGGUUCAAUUGAUUUGUGUAACGUCAUAAAAAAAGAAAGAAAAAGAACAGAAACACAGCCCUUACAUAUCAGAAGAAUUUCAAAUACGUUUUUCCGGUCAAGAAAUUAUGAGGAACUGGUUCUUCAGAAACAUCCCCAAAGCCGGAGGUACACAUUUUACUUGAUGCGUUCAUCACAAAAUUUAGGUAUAGUUUAUUGUGUUAUAAGUUCAUACUUAUUUCAUAUACCUAUUAUUGACAUCAGGGUUAACCUCGUUUAAUUAUAAAUGUGCUUAUGUUGUCAUUUUUUAUUCUAAAUUCUUCACCAUUAUUGGAAUAUUAGGUUCAUACAUAGGAAAGCAAACAUGUAAAAAAUCAUACAGAUUUUGAACGCAGUACCAACCAAAUGAUUCCUUGUUAUGUGAUCCAAUUUGGUGUCCAGGUAUAUAUCUUAUCUUUAAUUCCAACUCUAGAUCAACUAAAGUUCCCGAGUGGUUAAAGAAUUCAAACUUAAGCUCUAAGAGUGACUACUAUCAAAGUAACUUGUUUUCGUAAUUAUGCAUUUGUUUGGUUUUAAUCCUAUUGAUAAAUUGAGAUUUCUGAUUAUACUCGAGUGGAUUGCUGUACUUUUAAGGUGAUUGGGGAGGAUUGUAAUGUUCAGCAAUCUAUUUGUACGAAAGAUGUAUUCUUUGUAAUAGAUCAAGCCUUGUCUGUGGUUUCUCAUUGGAGCUGGAGGGAGGCUUCAUGAUCAACCUUCAUGUAUUGAUUCAAAUCUUGACAUGGAGUUUGUUUGCUGUCGAGCAACCUCCAGGACUGGUAAAUGCAUGAUUAGUCUAGAAGAAUGCAAGAUUGACGUCCCUGCCAUCCUCAAGACUCAAGCUGAAAAUGGCGUCUCCGAAAUCGUUAUUAUUGCUGCUGAAGAGAUCCCCAAUUCUCCAUGUGAUAAUUGAUCAUUUUCUCCCCUGCACUGCAAGAAGGUGAAAGGGAACACACUAACCAUCUUGGCUGAAGUUUGAUGACUGCAGCAGGUGCAAGUUUUUCUGCCUGGCUGUUUGUUCCCUAGAUCUCUUCUGAUAUGCAUCAUCUCUUUCUGCUUGUUUUAGUAUCCAGAAAUUACCCUCUCCCGGCUCUUUUAUUUUAUUUUUACCGCGCUCUGAUUUCGUAUAUUCUAUUAUUUCUACAUGUUCUGUUAGGCUUUUCCUGUUGAGUUGAUGAAAAUUUGAAGCUGUGUUGUGCAUCUA